rnacentral:misc_RNA from 1 species
UUUCCGUAGGCGAACCUGCGGAAGGAUCAUUCAUAAUAAAGUGUUUUAUGGCACUUUUUAAAAAUCCAUAUCCACCUUGUGUGCAAUGUUAGAUCUCGUCAAUCUUGGCGAGAUUUUUAUACAUCAACUCAUUCUUUAACUAAUUUGUCUGAAAAAUAUUAUGAAUACUUAAUUCAAAAUACAACUUUCAACAACGGAUCUCUUGGCUCUU